AUACCUCCGAUGCAGGGAGGGUCGAGAACCCUCGCCAGGGUUCGACAAAACGGCCUGCCGUUUUGGUCCGCCAACGGCGACCCGUAGGGUGAGCGCAGCGAAUCCCUCCCUCUCCGUCA
rnacentral:sRNA from 1 species